rnacentral:rRNA from 1 species
UACGGAGGAUCCAAGCGUUAUCCGGAUUUAUUGGGUUUAAAGGGUGCGUAGGCGGCCUGUUAAGUCAGGGGUGAAAGACGGUAGCUCAACUAUCGCAGUGCCCUUGAUACUGAUGGGCUUGAAUGUACUAGAGGUAGGCGGAAUGUGACAAGUAGCGGUGAAAUGCAUAGAUAUGUCACAGAACACCCAUGGCGAAGGCAGCAUUCUGGGCUCAACCUGACGCUGAGGAGCGAAAGCCAGGGGAGCGAACGGG